rnacentral:sRNA from 1 species
UACCUGGUGAAGCUAGACCCCAGGGUUGGCUGAUCAUGAGUAAGCCCCUCCCUCGAGCCUCCUGCACCAAGCCCCUAACCUUCUGGAACAUUUACCCUACAGUCUUUUUGACCUUUCUCCAUCCCCUGCCCUUCACCCUUUUCACAAGAGCAUGGUAAGGACUCAAAGAUAGGAUCCUGGACAGAAAAUCCACCACCCUCUCAACCUUACACCUCAGUUCUCUUGUCUCUAGGCACAUCAAGUUUUCAAGAGAACUAGCUUUAUGUAACUACUUUUUUUUUUGUAAUUAUCAAAAGUAGAUUAGACUUAAAUGUUUAAAACUAAAGAAGAAGAAAAAACAACAACUAUAUCUCACAUCUUAGAAACUGGGAAUGAAACAGAGGAGAAAUCCAAUCAGACGUCACAAAUGACGAGGCCCAUGCCUUGCUCGUAGUAGAAUCCAGAAGAACUGCUACGGGGCUGUCAGAAAAUUAAUAUGACAUGGUCACAAGAAAAAUUUUAGACACAACCACUUCAACAGCUUCUUGGAGUACUAAAGACUCUGUGAAUCAGGCAGCACUUAGAAGGACAGGUUCAGAGAGAUCCAGUUAGCAGUGUGAACAGCAGACUUUUUAAAGCAAUGCAGAAGCAAUCUACACUAGAGGAGUGGCUGCGGCUCACCAUUGGCCUUCUUUGCCGUCAUCCAUUGAAAGUCCCAAGACACAAGGUAAUUGCUUCUGUGGUCCUGUCCCUAAAAAUGAUCCUUCUUCCUCAUGCAGAGAACUGAAAUUUGAAACCUGUCAUGUGCUUUAGUUUUGGCUGUGGCAAAUAGAACAUUGUUUCCGAUGGUAUUCCAGACAGACUAUGGACUAAAGCAUCGUCCCUUGGCAUUAUGCAGCGACUACACAAUCCCUGACUGAAGGUCCCAGCUGGAGAGCCAGUGGUGUCGUCCUGGCUGGAGUCCCAUUAUUUUCAUUGGCCUUAGAUGAAUGACCAGGAACGAACGCUGGUCCAGGACCCCAGGAUCCCCUGCCAAGACGCAAGUUCUUGAACGAUGGCAGUCUCUGUUCUGGAGAGCCUUUGGAUUUGAAGACGUCCUUUCUGAGGCUACCUCAUCUCCAUUGCUCUACCCCCAGCUAUCUAGUAGGAUGCCACCCAGUACCUCUCUAGUCUCUCUGCUCUGUAGUUGAUAUUCUACCGCUCAGAGUCCUACUAGCAGGGACUUGGGUUCCAAACUUUUUAUCUGGUGCACUCUGUACACACUCCUGCUCCUGUCCAAGCUGCUGAUCGGACGCUCCUACGCUAUUGCUGA